GUGCUUGCUUUGGCAGCAUAUAUACUGAAACUGGAACAAUACAGAGAAUAGCAUGGUCCCUGCACAAGGAUGACACACAAAUUCAUAAAGCAUUCCUUAUUUAA
ensembl:snRNA U6 U6 spliceosomal RNA